UGUUUGAUUUUGGAUACGGUCGCCA
rnacentral:miRNA from 1 species